rnacentral:rRNA from 1 species
GAUGAACGCUGGCGGCGUGCCUAACACAUGCAAGUCGAGCGAACGGACGAGAAGCUUGCUUUUUUGAGGUUAGCGGCGGACGGGUGAGUAACAAGUGGAUAACCUACUUAUAUUACUUGGAUAAUAUCGGGAAACCGGAGCUACUACUGGCUAAUAUUUUGAACCGCAGGGUUCAAAAGUGAAUCACGGCUUUCGUGUCUGUUAUAGACGGUUCCGCGCUGCAUUAGCUAGUUGGUAAGGUAACGGCUUACCAAGGCAACGAUGCAUAGCCGAGCUGAGAGGGUGAUCAGCCACACUGGAACUGAGACACGGUCCAGACUCCUACGGGAGGCAGCAGUAGGGAAUAUUGCGCAAUGGGCGCAAGCCUGACGGAGCAACACCGCGUGAGUGAUGAAGGUCUUCGGGUCGUAAAGCUCUGUUAUUGGGAAAGAAAAUCUGUGUAAGUAAAUGUGGAUGUCUUGACGGUACCUAAUGAAAAAGCAACGGCUAACUACGUG